UCAGCACCUAGUCUUUCCUCCAGUCUUUCCAUCACCUAUGGAAACUUUUAUUGCUGUUUAUCAACAUGAGGACGAAAGUUGUGAAAAUGAAAGUCCACUAUGCCAUUAUGAGACUGACAAACAAGAAUAAAACUGUUAAGAGACAUCAGCCAAACCUUAGGCUUACCAAAAUCAACUGUUUGGAACAUCAUUAAGAAAGAGAGCACUGGUAGGCUUACCAAUCACAAAUGGACUGGCAGGCUAAGGUACACCUCCACAGCUGAUGACAGGCAAAUACUCUCUAUAAUUUUUUUUUUAAUCCCCAAACACCUGUCUGACAGAACAGAAACACUCUUCAGGAGUCAGGUGUGGAUUUGUCAAUGACCACUGUCCGCAGAAGAUUUCAUGAACAGAAAUACAGAGGCUACACCGCAACAUGCAGACCACUGGUUAGCCGCAAGAAUAGAUGGCCAGGUUUGCCAAGAACUACUUAUUUAAAGCA